UACAUAGAGAGUUUUACGUCUUGGCAAAAGGAUAAAUCAUCACGUUCAGUCUCUUCUUAUUUUAAAAAUGUUCGAGCCGGGCGUGGUGACGCACGCCUUUAAUCCCAGCACUCGGGAGGCAGAGGCAGGCUGACCUCGAAUUCAGAGAUUCGACCUGCAAUUUCGGGUUGGUAGGGAGUAGGCUAUGUGGAUUCUUGGUUCUCACUCUGAGUAAUUUACCUUACCCGGUAUCAUAAAAUUUUACUCAAACCAUUUUGUUAGUUAUACAAGUUUUUUGUUUGCUUGCUUGCUUGCUUGCUUUCUUGGUUUGGUUUUUCGGGAGAGGGUUUCUCUGUAUAACCCUGGCUGUCCUGGAACUCACUCUGUAGACCAGUUUCAUACGUGCCUUGCCAUUUUUGCUUCCCUUUGCCUUCUCACUCCUACUGAACUACCCUUCUUUCCCCCAAAUGCCCUCCUCCCUUGUGUCUUUGUAGUUUUGUGACGUACUGGAUUUACUAGGAUUUUUUGUACCAGCAAUGAGUGAAGAGUUAGUUACUAGAUCAGAGGCAACUGACCAGUGUGUAUGCCAUUGAAGGACACCCCUCCUUCCCAAAUAGUAACUGCCAAGGGACGGAGUCCAGUCAAAUUUUCUUUAACUCUUUUUAUUAAAGAAGAUGCUGGGUGUGGGGCUGCCAAGAUACCUCAGUAGAGAAAGGCUGUUGCUGCCAAGCCUCAGAUUAAUCCUCAUAACCCAUAUGUUGGAAAAAGCCAAUACCUGCAAGCUGUUUGUUCUUGACCUUCACAAGGUAUGCUGUGGUGGCAUAUAUGCUUACACGCCGUUAUGAAAUAUAAUGUGGCAAGGGAGUAUUUUUGGAGGGCCUGGCCAAGGUGUACCCCUGAGAAGUUACACCAUAAAACAGACCUAGUGUAAAGGUUUAUUGGGGGGAACGCAAGAGUACUGUGGGACUUGGUGAAGGGACAGAGGCAGACAAGUGGACAGAUAGACAGGCAGACAGAUGGGGGGCAGAAUCAUGAGGGCAGAGAGAGGGGACAGAGAAGGAGAGGGAACAUUGGUGGUGGAGAUCAGAGAGAGAGAGCUGGGGUGGCAGGUGGGUCCUUACAUCUACUGGUACAUCUGGCUGCCGUAGGUCAUGAUGUAAGCACUGGCUGGGUCCCUGAAAGCAGGCCAAUGGAAUUGCCUGUAUAAAACACACACACACACACACACACACACACUCUAAAAGAAAAAAAAAUAGCUGGGUAGUGCUGUUCAUUUUUAACCUUACCUACCUACUCAAGAGGCACUGAGGCAGGAGGAUGGCAAGUUCAUAGGCCACCCUGGACAGCAGAAUGAGUUUAGGGUAGAGAGACUGUCUCAAAAUGAAAAACAAGGGUUGGGGAAUGGCUCAGUGGGUAAGAGAGCUUUCUGGGCAAACAAUAAAGACCUGAAUUUAAGUUCCCAAAACUUAACAAAAAAAA